AGUGGCAACAGCGGGUUUCCUCUCAAAAUCUGUGUGGUCCUUAACCAUAUGUCUGACACCAUAUAACCGUAAAUAAAAUGUGUUGAGUGCAUCGUUAAAUAAAACACUUCUUUCUUUCUUUAAUGUGUGUUUUUCCAUAGCCAGUAAGUAUACUGACAUCCAAAAGAAACUUUACAAGGCUUGAAAUUGUAUUAUAGAAAAUCAACAAAUGGUACGGUGGCAUAUGAAAGUACGGUAUCAUCAAGUCCAACGUUGAAAUUUCACAAUGCAUUUCGUGACACAUGCAAAGUGUUGGUUAGGUGGUUUGUAAAUUGGUUAUUUUUCAUAAGCAACAAUAUUUAUCAAAUUAUUCAAAUUUCAUUUAUGUAAAGUUUUUACUGGACGUUAGUAUACACACCAAGAUUGGGAUUGGGAAAACUUCACUUAGUUGUGUAGAUCUGUGAUAGGAAAAAAUUGUGUUACGUUAAUGACAUAUUUAUGUUAAACAAAUUGACCAGCCACAGCGGUAUAUUGGUUAAUUCAUCAGCUGCUUGUGGGUGCUGGGUUUGAAUCCCAGUGAAUUUUAAUAUCGUAUUGGGGAUGUAUGAUCCCACUACAACGACCUUUCUCACCAAGUUUAGUAAUUUGGUAAAUGUGCUUUAAAAGAAAACUUGUGACUUUCAAAGUGAAAUCUGAUGUUGGAUUUAAUCGAUGCAUCAGUAUAAGUACCGUAACGGAAGAUUUUCAAUGCAAAAUGAAAUGUAGCUUGGAAGUGGAAGUAUAGGACACACUCAACACCUUUUAUUUAUGGUUAUAUGGAGUCAGACAUAUGGUAAAGGACCACACAGAUAUUUAGAGAGAAAACCUGCUGUUGCUACUUCAUGAGCUACUCUUUUCAAUUAGCAGCAAGGCAUAUUUUAUAUGCCCCAUCCUGCAGACAGGGUAGUACAUAGUAGCCUUUGAUCAGGACGUCUAGAUUAUGGUAGCCCCACUCCCAUGGCUAGUGAUAUUCAGUGUUGGGCUAGUAAAUAAAUACUAUUGCCAUGCCAGACAGGGCUUCUAGAUUAUGGUAGCCCCACUCCCAUGGCUAGUGAUAUUCAGUGUUGGGCUAGUAAAUAACUAUCAUUGCCUUGCCCGACAGCUAGUUAAAAAUAAAAUUGUCAAAUGCUGCAUUUAAGUAUAUUUUGUAAAUAUGAAUAUCCUGCCCUCGCCCCUAUCCCCCAAUCUUAGUGUUUUUAAGGUCUAUCUCCUUUAGGCGACAUUAUUACUAUUAGUAAAAUUGUAUUAACUUAAAGUAAAGUAGGGCUAGUGAAUUUUUAAUUGUGGCUAGUAAAUAUUCAAAAUUACUUACCCCAUAGCUAAUGGAUUUUAUAAGCCCUGCUUUGAUAUGCCAGUUGUGGUGCACUGGCUGGAACGAGAAAUAACUUAAUGGGCCCACCAAUGGGAUCGAUCCCAGACCAACUGCACAUCGAGCGAACGCUUUACCACUGGGUUACGUCCCUCCCCUCGAAGUAUAGUGUAGGACGCAUAGUACCAAACUGGUAAACGUUUUUGUCUUAGUAUACUAAGGACUAUGGACACACUCUCCUGGACAGAUCACCUAGCAGAGUUGAGUGCUUUUACAAAACAAAGCAAAACUAAACUAAUAAUAAAGUAACAAAUUUUAAAUAUAAUUUUAAUUAGAAACAAUUUGAAUUGAGCAGUAGUUUUAUCAGCCUGUUCACAAUUGGUAGGUCCUGAUUGAGUGCACCAGCACCAACACGCAGUGAGUACGUGUACACUGUUUACUGUAGCAUUAUAUUUAUUAGUUCCUCAAGUAAAAUGCAACAUUCUGUGGCUUUUCUUAUUAAUCCAACUACACAUGACCAACCGAAUUUACAAAGCUUGUUUUUAUCUUACAGGCAUGUAACUACAUACAAUUACAAUGUAUAAACACCUGCUUUAAAAAGAAAAAGAAAAAGAAAAAAAGAAACGGCUUCGUAAAUUCGGCUCGACAUGUUCACUCUGAAUAAAUAUAUUUUAGGAGGAGGAUGUAUAAAAAUCCUACACUGGCUGAGUUCCCAUGAAUAUGGUUCAUGUUUUAAAAUUGUAUAAUUUGAAAAAGCAGGUUGGUAAAUUCAAACGAAAUUGCUUUGUCUACAAAACAGAUCGUAAAAGAAGAAGAAAAAAUUGAAAUGAAUUCAGGCAGUUUGGAGACAAAUAUAGUUAUGUUAGGUUAAUAUAUCCUACAUACUUUCCCAUGCUGUACAAACAAACAAAGAUUGUAAACUGAGAGCCGUCUCCAUGCAAUCAAUACAGGGUACUCGGGUUUGUUUGUUAUCACAAGCUCAAUAUGAACACAUUAUCAAUGGAAAUAAAAACAUCAUGUUUCAAACGGGGAUAAUUGAGUCAAAUUAAAACUUUCAAAAGUGUAAACAUCAGUUGUUGAUUUUUCUCAUUUUAUGUUUAUUCUAGUCAGUUCUUUGGGCCGACAUGACACGUGUUCAGUUUUAAGGAAAUUAAAGAGUGUUGAAAAUGUUGGCUUUGAAGACCAGACAUGUUUAUUACGGUAACUGUCAAUCUUAUUGUGGGUUUUCUGUAAUAAGUCUUGAUUGAAACUGUUUUGUUUUUAAAAAGUUUAAAUGUUAAUCUACAUAUAAAGGACUUGUUUUGUAAAGGACACUUCACAAUGUGCCCUUUAGGUGUAAUAAGUCUUGAUUGAAACUGUUUUGUUUUUAAAAUGUUUAAAUGUUAAUCUACAUAUAAAGGACUUGUUUUGUAAAGGACACUUCAUAAUGUGCCCUUUAGGUGUAAUAGGUCUGUAUUGAAACUGUAUUGUUUUUAAAAUGUUUAAAUGUUAAUCUACAUAUAAAGGACUUGUUUUGUAAAGGACACUUCACAAUGUGCCCUUUAGGUGUAAUAGGUCUGGAUUGAAACUGUUUUUGUUUUAUAAUAAUGACAGAUCUGUACCCAUGUUUGUGAAACUUUAGUCUAGACUGAAAUCUCUAACGAUGUCAUAUGGUGUUGAAAUGAUAUUAAAGUCUCAGACUAUUAAAA